GCUCUAUGCAGGACUGGGCAAAGUUUUUGAGAAAAGGGUGUUUGAAGAGAUAGAUACUCACUGGAAGCCUCAUGCACUGCUGACUUUAUCUGAUAAGCUGACUUUAUUCAAACCCCAGAUUUGCAAGGUUUAUAGCAAAUUAAGGAUAACAUACACAGAAACUACUACAAAAAACCACAACCAGACAAAAAUGCAGAGUGAUGGAGCCCAGUCCCAAUGGAUACAUCUACAAAACAUAAGGCUCAGGGAACAUUGAGGAAGAGGGAUGGAAAGAUUACAAGAGCCAGACGAUCAAGGUUUUCUGUGAGACUGUGUCUCCUAGUAAUGUCAGAAGGUAUACCCAUAAAGUCUCAUCAACAUGACUGCCUAAACAUAAACUGAACAAGGAUGGUACCAAUGAACAUGUUAAAGUGGGUAGGGAAAAAGCCCAUGAGGCCUGAACCCUACACAAAGACCCAUAGGCAAGUGAGGAAAGCUGGGAGCAGAAGAGAUGGCUCAUUUCUGGAGGAUAUGAUACCUUCUUCUGGCCUCUGGAGUCUUGAACCCAUUGCUAAGAAAGCACCCUGAAGUCUCUGAAGAAUUUCUGCUUUUGUCAGCCCCAGUUUGCUUCAACCUUUAUGUAAGAAAAGCCCAAGAAUUAUUUGCAUUGCAAAUUCCAGUGGUUUGCAUGAUAGAAGGAAGCCCAGACUGCUUUUUGUUAGAUAAUUAAGAGUGGUUUGUAUCUUGUACAAACAUUCUUCUUGUUCACUAAGAGAAAUGUAAUGGGGUAGGCAGAUGUGGAAUUUCUUCAGCUUAGUAAAACUGUUGAGAACCAGUGGCUCUGGAACUAGAACGUGGGCCAAAGUGGCCAAACCUGGCAUGCUGCUAGUGUUUUUUAUCAGUGAAGUUUUACAGAAAUACAAUCACACUUUCUUGUGGCUGCCUUGGCACUACUACUUUGAUAGAGUUGACUCAUUACAGCAAAGUCCAUGCGUAUGUCCUGUGAGCACUAACAUAUUGACUCUUGGACUCCUUACAAAAUAGUUUUACUAAACUCUGACCUAGGAAACCCUGGGGUUCUUGCCCUGUCCCAUCUGGGUUUUUCCUGAAGAAGCAGCAGGUCACUCAUUUUGGAAAACUGAAGGAAUUCCACAUCUGCAUGCUACAAAGGGCAAGGUAGAACCAGAGCACUGGUUCUCAACCUAAUGCUGGAACCCUUUAACACAGUUCCUGGUGUUGUGGUGACACCGCCCCCCCCAACCAUAAAAUUAUUUUCGUUGCUACUUCAUAAUUGUAAUUCUGUUACUGUUAUGAGUCAUAAUGCAAAUUAUCUGUGUUUUCUGAUGGUCUUAGAUGGCCCCUGUGAAAGGCUCAUUGAAUACCCCAAAGAGGUCAAGAACCACUGUUUUAGAGUUUAGACCAAACUCUUUCUAAUACAGAGCCCCCUUCAGAAGGAUUCAGACCAUCCUGUAUCUGGGCAGCUUUUCUUGUAUGUUCUACACCAUGUUUCCUUGAAAUUCUUACCUUGCUACCACCACCAUCUCCAACCUAGACCAUGGCAGAAGCAUCCUAUCUGGUCUCUCUGGUUCUACCUUUCACCUUUCUACCAUGUGGCAGCCUACCUUCAUCCUUGAGUCAUUCUUAUAAAGUAUAAACUCAAUCAUAUCAUUCUCGAGUUUCAGGUUUUGCCUAGUGUUCAGAAUAAACCAAAAUGUUUUACCUUGACCUUUAUGACACUAAACCCUGUCCCUAUUGUUUCUAACCUCAUUUCCUGCUACUCUUUGGCCACACAAACUUCUCAAUGUUUUCCAAACAAGUGAUGUGUGUUCCCACCUCAGGGCCUUUGCACUGGGUUUCAUUUUUGCUCCCAGGCAUCUGCAAGGCUUGUUGUCUCCCUUCAUUCAGGUUUCUGCUUAGCUGUCACCAUUUCAGGGAGGCUUCCUCCAACUGCUUUACCUGUCACACCCCAUGCCUUGAUAUAUAUA
rnacentral:lncRNA from 1 species